UACGUAGGGUGCAAGCGUUAUUCGGAAUUACUGGGCGUAAAGCGUGCGUAGGCGGUUAUGCAAGUCGGGUGUGAAAGCCCCGGGCUCAACCUGGGAAUUGCAUUCGAGACUGUGUAGCUAGGGUACGGAAGAGGGAAGCGGAAUUUCAGGUGUAGCGGUGAAAUGCGUAGAUAUCUGAAGGAACACCAGUGGCGAAAGCGGCUUCCUGGUCCAGUACCGACGUUCAGGCACGAAAGCGUGGGGAGCAAACAGG
rnacentral:rRNA from 1 species